UACAAAUGUUCAGAUUUUUUUUAAUCUUUCGAGUAGCUGUUCUAUUAUUAGUAAAAAUAAUAUCAAGUUCCUAAAUUGAGUGCUUAUAUGAUUGCACUUUGCCGAAAUUUUUUUUUGGUUUUCUUAUUAAUGAACAGUAGUCAACUUUGGCGUAGCCAGAAAAUUGGUCUAGGGGUGUUUCUCUAAUUCUAAUCUAAUUUUGCUUCCAUUUCUUGUUUUUUUGGACAAAUGAGAGAAAAAAUCAGGUGAAUCUAAAUGUUACCAAGGAACAAAAAAUCAAACCGUCAUUAAUUAACGAUCACCUUCUUGAAAAUAACAUAUGCGGAACUGCGUAAGUGACUGAAGAAAGGACCUUGAGGGUACUGGAAAGCCAAAGCUGCUUCAUAAACCAUUUAGUCAUUUCAGCAGUGUAUUCAAAUUAAUGUGAUGUGGGGUUGUUGGAUAGUUUUCCUCGUAAUAGUGAUAGGAAAUGUUGUACAAAGUACAGUAUUUCACAUUUCACGUGUAAAGAAAUCAUGGGUCAGUGCCAUCGAGUAUUGCAAAUGCUACGAAAUGCGACUAGCCGUGGUUGAUACGCUGGAAAAACAAAAAUUACUUGAACAAGCCAUCGUUGGUUCUCCGAUAUUCAGCAAAAAAUACACCACCGUGUGGAUUGGAGCAAACGACCGGGAAACCGAGGGCCACUUUGUAUGGCAGCCAACGGGAACGGCAGUUCAGUACAGCAACUGGGGUCCCACGGCGCCUAACAAACGCGGCAGGAAUGAGAAUUGCGUACACUUAGUUUAUUCCGAAAACAGGAUCUUUGAAUGGGAUGAUUGGAGAUGUCAACGUGAAUCGAAUGUUGCGUGUGAGAAAAUAAAAGAUUGUGAUUGACAAAUUCCGAAUUUUAGGAGCAGAUGAGUGCUCACCGGAUUAUAUUAUAUCACGUGACACCUUCGAACGCAAGAAGUUCUAGCAAAUCAUCUGUCAAAAAUCUUUCAAAUCUAGAAAAUAACUUUGUUGCAAGUUAGCUUAGUAAGUUCGAGUUUAGUUAGCUGUUGAGUUUAUUCCCUACUCAGUAUAAGUCAUAAGUGUAUAUGAUUCCUUUUUAUGUGAUUAAA